GAGUUUGAUCGUGGCUCAGGACGAACGCUGGCGGCGUGCUUAACACAUGCAAGUCGAGCGGUAAGGCUCCUUCGGGGGUACACGAGCGGCGAACGGGUGAGUAACACGUGAGUAAUCUGCCCUUCACUUUGGGAUAAGCCUCGGAAACGGGGUCUAAUACCGAAUACGACCACUUCGGGCAUCCGAUGGUGGUGGAAAGUUUUUUCGGUGGAGGAUGUGCUCGCGGCCUAUCAGCUUGUUGGUGGGGUAAUGGCCUACCAAGGCUUCGACGGGUAGCCGGCCUGAGAGGGUGACCGGCCACACUGGGACUGAGACACGGCCCAGACUCCUACGGGAGGCAGCAGUGGGGAAUUUUGGACAAUGGACGCAAGUCUGAUCCAGCCAUGCCGCGUGCGGGAAGAAGGCCUCGG
rnacentral:rRNA from 1 species